rnacentral:rRNA from 1 species
AUUGAACGCUGGCGGCAGGCCUAACACAUGCAAGUCGAGCGGAUGAAGGGAGCUUUCUCCUGGAUUCAGCGGCGGACGGGUGAGUAAUGCCUAGGAAUCUGCCUGGUAUUGGGGGAUAACAUCCGGAAACGGGCGCUAAUACCGCAUACGUCCUGAGGGUGAACGUGGGGGAUCUUCGGACCUCACGCUAUCAGAUGAGCCUAGGUCGGAUUAGCUAGUUGGUGGGGUAAAGGCCUACCAAGGCGACGAUCCGUAACUGGUCUGAGAGGAUGAUCAGUCACAAUGGAACUGAGACACGGUCAAGACUCCUACGGGAGGCAGCAGUGGGGAAUAUUGGACAAUGGGCGAAAGCAUGAUCCAGCCAUGCCGCGUGUGUGAAGAAGGUCUUCGGAUUGUAAAGCACUUUAAGUGGGGAGGAAGGGCAGUAAGUUAAUACCUUGCUGUUUUGACGGUACCAACAGAAUAAGCACCGGCUAACUUCGUG